CGACCGCUGAGUAGGUGACGGCCACAUUGGGACUGAGACACGGCCCAAACUCCUACGGAAGGCAGCAG
rnacentral:rRNA from 1 species